GACGAACGCUGGCGGCGUGCUUAACACAUGCAAGUCGAACGGAAAGGCCUCUUUCGGGGGGUACUCGAGUGGCGAACGGGUGAGUAACACGUGAGUAACCUGCCCUUGACUUUGGGAUAACUUCAGGAAACUGGGGCUAAUACCGGAUAGGAGCUCCAGCUGCAUGGUGGGGGUUGGAAAGUUUCGGCGGUUGGGGGUGGACUCGCGGCGUAUCAGCUUGUUUGUGGGGUAGUGGCUUACCAAGGCUUAGGCGGGUACCCGGCCUGGGAGGGUGAACGGCCACACUGGGACUGAGAUACGGCCCGGACUCCCACGGGAGGCAGCAGGGGGGAAUAUUGCUCAAUGGGUGGAAGCCUGAUGCAGCAACGCCGUGUGCGGGAUGACGGACUUCGGGUUGUAAACCGCUUUCGCUCAUGACGGAGCUUUGUGUGACGGUAGUGGGUAAAGAAGCACCGGCUAACUACGUG
rnacentral:rRNA from 1 species